CAGGUAUGCAUCUAUCUUCUUCUUGUUGGUGCCUUUUGAGAUUUGUGAUAUUUUGGAGAAGUUGUUAGUUAUGUGACUUCUUAUGCAGAACCAACUGAGAAAAAGAACAGGCUUGGCUUCAAAAUUCGGAAUCUUUUCAAAAAUUGCAAUUGUGCAACGGCUCGAGAACUAGAACUCAGUGACUUUGAAGUCAAAGAAAAACGAGAGAAUUACUGAAUGUGUCUAUUUUGUUUGUCCAUGCACAAAUUCAAAGGUUGUUAUACUCAAAACAACAACACCCAAGUUUAAGAACUUCUGGUUUUUCCAAUGGUUGCUAUUUUGGAACUUUCUCUCUCUGCUAAAGUGGUGGCCCUUGCUUCUUGAAUUUUGGCUGUGGAGUCCCUGUGUGAACAUGAGGCAGCAAAAACAUGGGUAGGAGGGAAAGAACAUAAGAGUGGAAUCCUCAAUUGCGUAUUUAACUUCUCAAUCAUUUGACUUAUCACACAGAACAAAUCAAGGCAACAACAAACCUGGCUCAAAAUUUUGACCCUAUUCAAAAAGCUUUGGCCCUGAAAUUGUGUGACAAGUAGUGGACUCCAUGACGUUGUUUGAUAUUGGGCAACAUUACACGUGUUCUUUUCUCUAAUCACUGCGAAGAAGAGGAGGCCAGCCUGCAGGCCCCCCACAUGAGUCUGGGGGAUAGAGUUCAUGGAAUUUUUAAGCCAUAGAGAGGUAGAACAAGUAAGGUGGUUGAGA